rnacentral:rRNA from 1 species
CGCGGUAUUUUGACUGUGCGAAGGUAGCAUAAUCAUUUGUCUUUUAAUUGAAGACUUGUAUGAAUGGUUGAACGAGAAAAUAACUGUCUCUUUAAAAAAUCUUGAAUUUUACUUUUAAGUGAAAAGGCUUAAAUAAUUUUAAGGGACGAUAAGACCCUAUAAAUCUUUAUAUUAUUUUUCUUUAAAUUUCAAAUUAUAUAUUAAAAGAAAAAAAAGAAAAAAAUAUUGUAUUGGGGAGAUAAAAAUAUAACUUUUUUAACUGUUUUAAACAUAAAACAAUAAUUUUUGAUUAAUUAAAAUUGAUCCUUUUUAAAGAUUUUAAGAUUAAGUUACUUUAGGGAUAACAGCGUAAUUUUUUUUGAGAGUCCUUAUCGAAAAAAAAGUUUGCGACCUCGAUGUUGAAUUAAAAUAUCCUUAUAAGUGCAGAAGCUAUAAAGGAAAGUCUGUUCGACUUUUAAAAUUUUACAU